UACAGAGGUCUCAAGCGUUGUUCGGAUUCAUUGGGCGUAAAGGGUGCGUAGGUGGCGCCGUAAGUCGGGUGUGAAAUUUCGGAGCUUAACUCCGAAACUGCAUUCGAUACUGCGGUGCUUGAGGACUGGAGAGGAAGGCGGAAUUCUCGGUGUAGAGGUGAAAUUCGUAGAUAUCGAGAGGAACACCGGUGGCGAAGGCGGCCUUCUGGACAGUGACUGACGCUGAGACACGAAAGCGUGGGGAGCAAACAGG
rnacentral:rRNA from 1 species